rnacentral:rRNA from 1 species
GACGGACCACACAAACGUUAUUCGGAAUCACUGGGCUUAAAGGGUGCGCAGGCUGCGCAGUAAGUCGGGUGUGAAAUCCCUCGGCUCAACCGAGGAACUGCGCCCGAUACUACUGUGCUCGAGGGAGAUAGAGGUGAGCGGAACUUAGGGUGGAGCGGUGAAAUGCGUUGAUAUCCUAAGGAACACCGGUGGCGAAAGCGGCUCACUGGAUCUCUUCUGACGCUCAGGCACGAAAGCUAGGGGAGCGAACGGG